rnacentral:rRNA from 1 species
GUUUGGUUAAGUUAGAAAGGGCGCACGGUGGAUGCCUUGACACUAGGAGUCGAUGAAGGACGGGACUAACGCCGAUAUGCUUCGGGGAGCUGUAAGUAAGCUUUGAUCCGAAGAUUUCCGAAUGGGGAAACCCACCAUACGUAAUGGUAUGGUAUCCUUAUCUGAAUACAUAGGGUAAGGAAGACAGACCCAGGGAACUGAAACAUCUAAGUACCUGGAGGAAGAGAAAGCAAAUGCGAUUUCCUGAGUAGCGGCGAGCGAAACGGAACAUAGCCCAAACCAAGAGGCUUGCCUCUUGGGGUUGUAGGACAUUCUAUACGGAGUUACAAAGGAACGAGGUAGACGAAGCGACCUGGAAAGGUCCGUCGGAGAGGGUA